UACGUAGGGUGCGAGCGUUGUCCGGAAUUAUUGGGCGUAAAGAGCUCGUAGGCGGUGUGUCGCGUCGGUCGUGAAAACUUGGGGCUUAACCCUGAGCUUGCGGUCGAUACGGGCAUCACUGGAGUUCGGCAGGGGAGACUGGAAUUCCUGGUGUAGCGGUGAAAUGCGCAGAUAUCAGGAAGAACACCCGUGGCGAAGGCGGUUCUCUGGGACGGUACUGACGCUGAGACGCGAAAGCGUGGGGAGCGAACAGG
rnacentral:rRNA from 1 species